rnacentral:rRNA from 1 species
GGCUCAGGACGAACGCGGGCGGCGUGCCUAACACAUGCAAGUCGAAUGGGCCUGGGGGCAACUCCAGGUCAGUGGCGGACGGGUGCGUAACACGCAAGCAACGUAUCCAACGGUGGGGGAUAGCCGGCCCAACGGCCGGGUAAUACCGCAUACGGUCGCCCGGGACAUCCCGGGUGAGGAAAGUGGGGGCAACCUCACGCCGAUGGAGCGGCUUGCGGCCUAUCAGCUAGUUGGUGAGGUCACGGCUCACCAAGGCGACGACGGGUAGCUGGUCUGAGAGGAUGAUCAGCCACAUUGGGACUGAGACACGGCCCAGACUCCUACGGGAGGCAGCAGUGGGGAAUCUUGCGCAAUGGGCGAAUGCCUGACGCAGCGACGCCGCGUGUGGGAUGACGGCCUUCGGGUUGUAAACCACUGUCGGGGGGGACGAAGGCCCGGCGGCGAACAGCCGACCGGGAUUGACGGUACCUCCAAAGGAAGCACCGGCUAACUCCGUGCCAGCAGCCGCGGUAAUACGGAGGGUGCGAGCGUUGUCCGGAAUCACUGGGCGUAAAGGGCGCGUAGGCGGCUGGGUAAGUCACGCGUGAAAUUCCGGGGCUCAACUCCGGAACGGCGUGUGGGACUGCCCGGCUAGAGCACGGUAGAGGCGAGUGGAAUUCCAGGUGUAGCGGUGGAAUGCGUAGAUAUCUGGAAGAACACCGGUGGCGAAGGCGGCUCGCUGGGCCGUUGCUGACGCUGAGGCGCGAAAGCGUGGGGAGCAAACAGGAUUAGAUACCCUGGUAGUCCACGCUGUAAACGAUGGGCACUAGGCGUCGGGGGGAGCGACCCCCCCGGUGCCGUCGCUAACGCAAUAAGUGCCCCGCCUGGGGAGUACGGCC